rnacentral:rRNA from 1 species
CGAACGUUAGCGGCGCGCCUAACACAUGCAAGUCGCACGAGAAAGGGAGCAAUCCCCGGUACAGUGGCGCACGGGUGAGUAACACGUAGAUGACCUUCCCUGGAGUGGUGGAUAACCUGCCGAAGGGCGGGCUAAUACAGCAUGGGACCACAUGGUUUUGACCGAGUGGUGAAAGCGGGCCUCUGUUCACAAGCUCGCGCUCUGGGAUGGGUCUGCGUCCCAUCAGCUAGUUGGUGAGGUAAUGGCUCACCAAGGCAUCGACGGGUAGCUGGUCUGAGAGGAUGACCAGCCACACUGGAACUGAGACACGGUCCAGACUCCUACGGGAGGCAGCAGUGGGGAAUCUUGCGCAAUGGGCGAAAGCCUGACGCAGCGACGCCGCGUGGGUGAUGAAGGCCUUCGGGUUGUAAAGCCCUGUGGGGAGGAACGAACCGUACGGGGGCGAACACCCUCCGUACCUGACGGUACCUCCUUAGCAAGCAUCGGCUAACUCUGUG